UACGGGGGGAGCAAGCGUUGUUCGGAUUUACUGGGCGUAAAGGGCGCGUAGGCGGCCAGCGCAAGUCGGUUGUGAAAUCUCCGGGCUUAACUCGGAAAGGUCAACUGAUACUGCGCGGCUAGAGUGCAGAAGGGGCAACUGGAAUUCUCGGUGUAGCGGUGAAAUGCGUAGAUAUCGAGAGGAACACCUGCGGCGAAGGUGGGUUGCUGGGCUGACACUGACGCUGAUGCGCGAAAGCCAGGGGAGCGAACGGG
rnacentral:rRNA from 1 species